rnacentral:rRNA from 1 species
GGUUACUGCUAUCGGAGUUCGAUUAAGCCAUGCGAGUCUAAAGGUUUCUUCGGAAACCUUGGCGGACUGCUCAGUAACACGUGGACAACCUGCCCUUGGGACUGGAAUAACCCCGGGAAACUGGGGAUAAUACCGGAUAGAUCAGGGAUGCUGGAAUGCACCUUGAUCCAAAGCUCCGGCGCCCAAGGAUGGGUCUGCGGCCUAUCAGGUAGUAGUGGGUGUAACGUACCUACUAGCCAACGACGGGUACGGGUUGUGAGAGCAAGAGCCCGGAGAUGGAUUCUGAGACACGAAUCCAGGCCCUACGGGGUGCAGCAGGCGCGAAAACUUUACAAUGUGCGAAAGCAUGAUAAGGGAACUCCGAGUGCCAGCAUCUAAUGUUGGCUGUCCUUGUGCCUAAAACGCACAAGAUAGCAAGGGCCGGGUAAGACCGGUGCCAGCCGCCGCGGUAACACCGGCGGCCCGAGUGGUAGCCGCUAUUAUUGGGUCUAAAGGGUCCGUAGCCGGUUCGAUAAGUCCUCUGGGAAAUCUGGUUGCUUAACAAUCAGACUGCCAAGGGAUACUGUCGAACUUGAGACCGGGAGAGGUAAGAGGUACUUCAGGGGUAGGAGUGAAAUCUUGUAAUCCCUGGGGGACCAUCUGUGGCGAAGGCGUCUUACCAGAACGGGUCUGACGGUGAGGGACGAAAGCUGGGGGCGCAAACCGGAUUAGAUACCCGGGUAGUCCCACCCGUAAACGAUGCUCGCUAUGUGUCAGGUACGGUGUGACCGUAUCUGGUGCCGUAGGGAAGCCGUGAAGCGAGCCACCUGGGAAGUACGGUCGCAAGACUGAAACUUAAAGGAAUUGGCGGGGGAGCACUACAACGGUGGAGC